GGGGUGAGCUUGACUAAAUUCAGUAUUCUAAGUGUGGCUGUGCACCUGUGAGUAAUUUGAGCAUGGCAGUCACGUAGAUGUGUCCAGGUAUUGCUGGCACCAUGGGAAUACGACCUUGCUGCAUGUUGAACAGGUUUUAGGGGCAUCUGUCCAUUCCAGUUGCUUAAAAGGCAAAAUUAAUUGAAGGUCGCCCUCCCUGCCUUGAGUUCCACCUACAGACCACUGCAAAGUGUGGAGCUACUUGUAUUCUAUUUUGUGUAGCCUCUCCCCAGUCCCUAGGUUUGCCUGACCCUGAACCGAGCACAGCAAUCCCUGAGUGGUGACCACAACCAGCAGUUCACCUAUAUCACCGUGGCCAGAACGGAGUCAAGUCAUCGUGGAACUAGUGCUGCGGGCAGCCUCACCGUGGACCGAUCGACUGGAGUCAUCCCUGGUCAAUCUCACGCACGCACCGAGACUUUGGAAGAACACCUAGAAGAAGUGGUGUUUGAAGGAGUCUACUCCAGUGCCUGCUCAUCAAGUGGAUGGAGCUAUCUAACUAAAGGUUGGGUAGAAGGAUCUAGAGCCUCUUCUCUGCAACAAAGGCAAGCCCCGGUGCAUUUACCCCUUCCUUGAGUUUUUAAAAGAUUUUUAUACACUUUAAGUCUAGUGAAAUGUGCAUUAAGUUUAUAGGAGUUGCUUGGAAACCCUUUGAUGCAUUGCCUUCCUUGAUAUCCAUACUGAAAGGGAAUUAGGCUUACUCCUAUUUUCCGAAUUGAUUUUGGUGGUUGAAGUGCCCAACACAAAUAAUUGGACUAACUAGUUUGCUCGAGUGUAUAAGUUAUACAGGUGAAAAAGGUUCACACUUAGCCAAUAAAAAGAUCAAAUGUUGGAUUCAACAAAGGAGAAAAGGGUCAACCGAAGGCACCUCUGGUCUGGGGGCACCGGACUGUCCGGUGUACACCGGACAGUGUCCGGUGCACCACCGGACAGUGUCCGGUGCACCACCGGACAGUGUCCGGUGCACCAGAGGACUCCAACUUGAACUCGCCACCUUCGGGAAUUUCUAGAGGCACUCGCGCUAUAAUUCACCGGACUGUCCGGUGUACACCGGACAGUGUCCGGUGCUCCUCGGAAGAGCUACCUCAGGAGCUCGCCAGCCUCGGGAAAUCAGAACGCCUGCUCCGCUAUAAUUCACCGGACAUGUCCGGUGUACACCGGACUGUCCGGUGAACCAGCAGAGCAACGGAUACUUCGCGCCAACGGUCACCUGCAGGCGCAUUCAAUGCGCGCCAGAAGCGCGCAGAAGUUAGACACGCCCAUAAUGGUGCACCGGACAGUGAAUAGUUCAUGUCCGGUGCGCCACCGGACAUCAAGGCGGGCCCAGAAGUCAGAACUCCAACGGUCAGAUUCCAACGGCACUGGUGACGUGGCUGGGGCACCGGACAUGUCCGGUGUGCACCGGACUGUCCGGUGCGCCAUCGAACAGACAGCCUCCACCAACGGUCAAGUUUGGUGGUUGGGGCUAUAAAUACCCCAACCACCCCACCAUUCAUUGCAUCCAAGUUUUUCAGCUUCCAACCACUAUACAAGAGCUAGCAUUCAUUGCAAAGCACACCAAAAGAGAUCAAAUCCUCUCCCAACUCCACACAAAGCUUUAGUGACUAGAGAGAGUGAUUUGUAGUGUUCAUUUGAGCUCUUGCGCUUGGAUCGCUUCUUUUCUUUCUCACUUGUUCUUAUGAUCAAAACUCCAUUGUAAUCAAGGCAAGAGGCACCAAUUGUGUGGUGGCCCUUGCGGGGAAGUUUUGUUCCCGGCUUUGAUUUGAGAAGAGAAGCUCACUCGGUCCGAGGGACCGUUUGAGAGAGGGAAGGGUUGAAAGAGACCCGGCCUUUGUGGCCUCCUCAACGGGGAGUAGGUUUGCAAGAACCGAACCUCGGUAAAACAAA